rnacentral:rRNA from 1 species
ACUUUGGGAUAACUUCAGGUAACUGGGGCUAAUACCGGAUAGGAGCUCCUGCCGCAUGGUGGGGGUUGGAAAGUUUCGGCGGUUGGGGAUGGACUCGCGGCUUAUCAGCUUGUUGGUGGGGUAGUGGCUUACCAAGGCUUUGACGGGUAGCCGGCCUGAGAGGGUGACCGGCCACAUUGGGACUGAGAUACGGUCCAG